ACAUGCCCACAACAUAGCGUUAAUGCACCAGAUCACAUUAUAACUCUGUAGUUAAGCAUGCUCAGGCUAAAGUAGUACUCGGAUGGGUGACUGCCUGGGAAGUCCUAGUGUUUUACAUGUC
rnacentral:rRNA from 1 species